rnacentral:rRNA from 1 species
GGACUACCCGGGUAUCUAAUCCUGUUUGCUCCCCAUGCUUUCGUGCUUUAGUGUCUGUACCGGACCAGCUGACCGCCUUCGCCACUGGUGUUCUUUCUGAUAUCUACGCAUUUCACUGCUACACCAGAAAUUCCGUCAGCCUCUUCCGUACACAAGCCUUGCAGUAUCAAAGGCAGUUCCGGGGUUGAGCCCCGAAAUUUCACCUCUGACUUACAAAACCACCUGAGCACCCUUUACACCCAGUAAAUCCGGACAACGCUUGCCCCCUACGUAUUACCGCGGCGGCUGGCAC